AUUGAACGCUGGCGGCAUGCCUUACACAUGCAAGUCGAACGGCAGCACGGGGGCAACCCUGGUGGCGAGUGGCGAACGGGUGAGUAACAUAUCGGAACGUGCCCUGGAGUGGGGGAUAACUAGUCGAAAGAUUAGCUAAUACCGCAUACGAUCUACGGAUGAAAGUGGGGGAUCGCAAGACCUCAUGCUCGUGGAGCGGCCGAUAUCUGAUUAGCUAGUUGGUGGGGUAAAGGCCUACCAAGGCAUCGAUCAGUAGCUGGUCUGAGAGGACGACCAGCCACACUGGGACUGAGACACGGCCCAGACUCCUACGGGAGGCAGCAGUGGGGAAUUUUGGACAAUGGGCGCAAGCCUGAUCCAGCAAUGCCGCGUGAGUGAAGAAGGCCUUCGGGUUGUAAAGCUCUUUUGUCAGGGAAGAAACGGUGAGGGCUAAUAUCCUUUGCUAAUGACGGUACCUGAAGAAUAAGCACCGGCUAACUACGUGCCAGCAGCCGCGGUAAUACGUAGGGUGCAAGCGUUAAUCGGAAUUACUGGGCGUAAAGCGUGCGCAGGCGGUUGUGCAAGACCGAUGUGAAAUCCCCGGGCUUAACCUGGGAAUGGCAUUGGUGACUGCACGGCUAGAGUGUGUCAGAGGGGGGUAGAAUUCCACGUGUAGCAGUGAAAUGCGUAGAGAUGUGGAGGAAUACCGAUGGCGAAGGCAGCCCCCUGGGAUAACACUGACGCUCAUGCACGAAAGCGUGGGGAGCAAACAGGAUUAGAUACCCUGGUAGUCCACGCCCUAAACGAUGUCAACUAGUUGUCGGGUCUUAAUUGACUUGGUAACGCAGCUAACGCGUGAAGUUGACCGCCUGGGGAGUACGGUCGCAAGAUUAAAACUCAAAGGAAUUGACGGGGACCCGCACAAGCGGUGGAUGAUGUGGAUUAAUUCGAUGCAACGCGAAAAACCUUACCUACCCUUGACAUGGCAGGAAUCCCGGAGAGAUUCGGGAGUGCUCGAAAGAGAACCUGCACACAGGUGCUGCAUGGCUGUCGUCAGCUCGUGUCGUGAGAUGUUGGGUUAAGUCCCGCAACGAGCGCAACCCUUGUCAUUAGUUGCUACGAAAGGGCACUCUAAUGAGACUGCCGGUGACAAACCGGAGGAAGGUGGGGAUGACGUCAAGUCCUCAUGGCCCUUAUGGGUAGGGCUUCACACGUCAUACAAUGGUACAUACAGAGGGCCGCCAACCCGCGAGGGGGAGCUAAUCCCAGAAAGUGUAUCGUAGUCCGGAUUGCAGUCUGCAACUCGACUGCAUGAAGUUGGAAUCGCUAGUAAUCGCGGAUCAGCAUGUAGCGGUGAAUACGUUCCCGGGUGU
rnacentral:rRNA from 1 species